GAAAUGCGAUAAGUAAUGUGAAUUGCAGAAUUCAGUGAAUCAUCGAAUCUUUGAACGCACCUUGCGCUCCUUGGUAUUCCGAGGAGCAUGCCUGUUUGAGUGUCAUUAAAUUCUCAACCUUAUCAGUUUUGUUGCAAAACUGUGUAAGGCUUGGAUAUGGAGGUUUGCAGGUCCACUACCAUGGUCUGCUCCUCUGAAAUGUAUUAGCGGGUUUAAGCCCCCGUCUAUUAGUGUGAUAAUUAUCUACGCUAUAGAUGUGGUAAGCUAUAAUUGACCAGCUUCUAAUCGUCUUUCGAGACAACUUUUGACAUUUUUGACCUCAAAUCAGGUAAGACUACCCGCUGAACUUAAGCAUAUCAAUAAGCGGAGGAAAAGAAACUAACAAGGAUUCCCCUAGUAACCUGAGACUCCAAGGCACACAGGGGGAUA
rnacentral:rRNA from 1 species